GUGCUUAACACAUGCAAGUCGAACGAUGAACCACUUCGGUGGGGAUUAGUGGCGAACGGGUGAGUAACACGUGGGCAAUCUGCCCUGCACUCUGGGACAAGCCCUGGAAACGGGGUCUAAUACCGGAUACUGAUCCUCGCAGGCAUCUGCGAGGUUCGAAAGCUCCGGCGGUGCAGGAUGAGCCCGCGGCCUAUCAGCUAGUUGGUGAGGUAACGGCUCACCAAGGCGACGACGGGUAGCCGGCCUGAGAGGGCGACCGGCCACACUGGGACUGAGACACGGCCCAGACUCCUACGGGAGGCAGCAGUGGGGAAUAUUGCACAAUGGGUUAAAGCUGAUGCAGCGACGCCGCGUGAGGGAUGACGGCCUUCGGGUUGUAAACCUCUUUCAGCAGGGAAGAAGCGAAAGUGACGGUACCUGCAGAAGAAGCGCCGGCUAACUACGUGCCAGCAGCCGCGGUA
rnacentral:rRNA from 1 species